rnacentral:tRNA from 1 species
GGGGAUUUAGCUUAGUGGUAUGAGUGCCUGCCUAGCAAGCAUGAGGUUGCGAGUCCAAUCCCUG